UACGAAGGGGGCUAGCGUUGUUCGGAUUUAUUGGGCGUAAAGAGCUCGUAGGCGGUUCGAUAAGUCGGACGUGAAAUCUCCACGCUCAACGUGGAGGGGCCGUUCGAUACUGUCGUGACUCGAGUCCGGUAGGGGAGUGUGGAAUUCCCGGUGUAGCGGUGAAAUGCGUAGAGAUCGGGAGGAACACCCGUAGCGAAGGCGGCACUCUGGGCCGGUACUGACGCUGAGGAGCGAAAGCGUGGGGAGCAAACAGG
rnacentral:rRNA from 1 species